rnacentral:rRNA from 1 species
UACGUAGGCAGCAAGCGUUGUUCGGAGUUACUGGGCGUAAAGGGUGCGUAGGCGGCUUUUUAAAUCUGGUGUGAAAUCUCCCGGCUCAACUGGGAGGGUGCGCCGGAUACUGAGGGGCUAGAGUGUGGGAGAGGAAAGUGGAAUUCCUGGUGUAGCGGUGAAAUGCGUAGAUAUCAGGAGGAACACCGGUGGUGUAAACGGCUUUCUGGACCAUAACUGACGCUGAGGCACGAAAGCGUGGGUAGCAAACAGG